rnacentral:rRNA from 1 species
GACGAACGCUGGCGGCGUGCCUAAUACAUGCAAGUUGAGCGCUGAAGGUUGGUACUUGUACCAACUGGAUGAGCAGCGAACGGGUGAGUAACGCGUGGGGAAUCUGCCUUUGAGCGGGGGACAACAUUUGGAAACGAAUGCUAAUACCGCAUAAAAACUUUAAACACAAGUUUUAAGUUUGAAAGAUGCAAUUGCAUCACUCAAAGAUGAUCCCGCGUUGUAUUAGCUAGUUGGUGAGGUAAAGGCUCACCAAGGCGAUGAUACAUAGCCGACCUGAGAGGGGGAUCGGCCACAUUGGGACUGAGACACGGCCCAAACUCCUACGGGAGGCAGCAGUAGGGAAUCUUCGGCAAUGGACGAAAGUCUGACCGAGCAACGCCGCGUGAGUGAAGAAGGCUUUCGGAUCGUAAAACUCUGUUGGUAGAGAAGAACGUUUGUGAGAGUGGAAAGCUCAUCAAGUGACGGUAACUAACCAGAAAGGGACGGCUAACUACGUG